AGAGUUUGAUCCUGGCUCAGGAUGAACGCUGGCGGCGUGCUUAACACAUGCAAGUCGAACGAAGCACUUUAUUUGAUUUCUUCGGAAUGAAGAUUUUGUGACUGAGUGGCGGACGGGUGAGUAACGCGUGGGUAACCUGCCUCAUACAGGGGGAUAACAGUUGGAAACGACUGCUAAUACCGCAUAAGCGCACAGGGUCGCAUGACCUGGUGUGAAAAACUCCGGUGGUAUGAGAUGGACCCGCGUCUGAUUAGCCAGUUGGUGGGGUAACGGCCUACCAAAGCGACGAUCAGUAGCCGACCUGAGAGGGUGACCGGCCACAUUGGGACUGAGACACGGCCCAAACUCCUACGGGAGGCAGCAGUGGGGAAUCUUGCGCAAUGGGGGGAACCCUGACGCAGCGACGCCGCGUGCGGGACGGAGGCCUUCGGGUCGUAAACCGCUUUCAGCAGGGAAGAGUCAAGACUGUACCUGCAGAAGAAGCCCCGGCUAACUACGUGCCAGCAGCCGCGGUAAUACGUAGGGGGCGAGCGUUAUCCGGAUUCAUUGGGCGUAAAGCGCGCGUAGGCGGCCCGGCAGGCCGGGGGUCGAAGCGGGGGGCUCAACCCCCCGAAGCCCCCGGAACCUCCGCGGCGCGGGUCCGGCAGGGGAGGGCGGAACACCCCGGAGCAGCGGGGGAACGCGCAGACAUCGGGAGGAACACCGGUGGCGAAGGCGGCCCUCCGGGCCGAGACCGACGCUGAGGCGGGAAAGCUGGGGGAGCGAACAGAAUUAAAUCCCCUGGUAGUCCCAGCCGUAAACGAUGGACGCUAGGUGUGGGGGGACGAUCCCCCCGUGCCGCAGCCAACGCAUUAAGCGUCCCGCCUGGGGAGUACGGCCGCAAGGCUAAAACUCAAAGAAAUUGACGGGGACCCGCACAAGCGGUGGAGUAUGUGGCUUAAUUCGAUGCAACGCGAAGAACCUUACCUGGGCUUGACAUGUAAUGAACAACAUGUGAAAGCAUGCGACUCUUCGGAGGCGUUACACAGGUGCUGCAUGGCCGUCGUCAGCUCGUGUCGUGAGAUGUUUGGUUAAGUCCAGCAACGAGCGCAACCCCUGUUGCCAGUUACCAGCACGUGAAGGUGGGGACUCUGGCGAGACUGCCCAGAUCAACUGGGAGGAAGGUGGGGACGACGUCAGGUCAGUAUGGCCCUUAUGCCCAGGGCUGCACACGUACUACAAUGCCCAGUACAGAGGGGGCCGAAGCCGCGAGGCGGAGGAAAUCCUAAAAACUGGGCCCAGUUCGGACUGUAGGCUGCAACCCGCCUACACGAAGCCGGAAUCGCUAGUAAUGGCGCAUCAGCUACGGCGCCGUGAAUACGUUGCCGGGUCUUGCACACACCGCCCGUCA
rnacentral:rRNA from 1 species